rnacentral:rRNA from 1 species
CCUACGGGUGGCAGCAGUGGGGAAUAUUGGACAAUGGGCGAAAGCCUGAUCCAGCCAUGCCGCGUGUGUGAAGAAGGCCUUCGGGUUGUAAAGCACUUUCAGUGGGGAAGAAAGCCUUGGGGCUAAUACCCUCGAGGAAGGACAUCACCCACAGAAGAAGCACCGGCUAACUCCGUGCCAGCAGCCGCGGUAAUACGGAGGGUGCGAGCGUUAAUCGGAAUUACUGGGCGUAAAGCGCGCGUAGGCGGCUGAUAAGCCGGUUGUGAAAGCCCCGGGCUCAACCUGGGAACGGCAUCCGGAACUGUCAGGCUAGAGUGCAGGAGAGGAAGGUAGAAUUCCCGGUGUAGCGGUGAAAUGCGUAGAGAUCGGGAGGAAUACCAGUGGCGAAGGCGGCCUUCUGGACUGACACUGACGCUGAGGUGCGAAAGCGUGGGUAGCAAACAGGAUUAGAUACCCGAGUAGUC